UCUCUUUGAAAUGGACCGUUUCUAUCCUAGGACCUGAGAAUCUCAAAAUUUGAAGAAUAAAGAACCAAGCAGGUACACAUGGCAAAAAAAAAAAAAAAAAAUCAAAAAAAACCCAGGUCUUUUUAUUGGCAAGUGGUCUGGCACUUUGGUAAGGAUCACCUGAGGUCAGGAGUUCGAGACCAGCCUGGCCAACAUACUGAAAUCCCGUCUCUACUAAAAAUACAAAAAUUAGCCAGGUGUAGUGGUGCAUGCCUGUAAUCCCAGCUACUCGGCAGGCUGAGGCAGGAGAAUUGCUUGAACACAGGAGUCGGAGGUUACAAUGAGCCGAGAUCACGCCACUGCAUUCCAGCCUGGGCGACAGAGACUCUGUCUCAAAAAAAAAUUUUUUUUCUUUUAUUAUUAUUAUCAUACUUUAAGUUCUAGGGUACAUGUGCACAACGUGCAGGUUUGUUACAUAUGUAUACAUGUGCCAUGUUGGUGUGCUGCACCCAUUAACUCGUCAUUUACAUUAGGUAUAUCUCCUAAUGCUA
rnacentral:lncRNA from 1 species